rnacentral:rRNA from 1 species
GGGAAUACGCUCUGGAAACGGAGAACAAAUCCCGAUGUACAGGAAGGAGGCAUCUUCUUUCUGUGAAACAUCCUUUAGGGGAUGGGGCGCGGAUGGACCUGCGGUGCAUUAGUUUGUUGGCGGGGUAAAGGCCCACCAAGACGAUGAUGCAUAGCCGGCCUGAGAGGGCGGACGGCCACAUUGGGACUGAGACACGGCCCAGACUCCUGCGGGAGGCAGCAGUAGGGAAUUUUCGUCAAUGGGCGCAAGCCUGAACGAGCGAUGCCGCGUGAGUGAAGAAGGCCUUCGGGUCGUAAAGCUCUGUUGCGGGGGAAAAAAGGCAGCAUCAGGAAAUGGGUGCUGACUGAUGGUGCCCCGCCAGAAAGUCACGGCUAACUACGUGCCAGCAGCCGCGGUAAUACGUAGGUGGCGAGCGUUAUCCGGAAUGAUUGGGCGUAAAGGGUGCGCAGGCGGUCCUGCAAGUCUGGAGUGAAACGCAUGAGCUCAACUCAUGCAUGGCUUUGGAAACUGGAGGACUGGAGAGCAGGAGAGGGCGGUGGAACUCCAUGUGUAGCGGUAAAAUGCGUAGAUAUAUGGAAGAACACCAGUGGCGAAGGCGGCCGCCUGGCCCGUUGCUGACGCUGAGGCACGAAAGCGUGGGGAGCAAAUAGGAUUAGAUACCCUAGUAGUCCACGCCGUAAACGAAGAG